rnacentral:rRNA from 1 species
AGAGUUUGAUCCUGGCUCAGAAUCAACGCUGGCGGCGUGCCUAACACAUGCAAGUCGAACGAGAAAGUGGAGCAAUCCAUGAGUAAAGUGGCGCACGGGUGAGUAACACGUGACUAACCUACCUUUGAGCGGGGGAUAACCUAGGGAAACCUGGGCUAAUACCGCAUAACACCUACGGGUCAAAGCGAGCAAUCGCACUUAAAGAGGGGGUCGCGGCAGAUUAGCUAGUUGGUGAGGUAAUGGCUCACCAAGGCGAUGAUCUGUAUCCGGCCUGAGAGGGCGCACGGACACACUGGAACUGAAACACGGUCCAGACUCCUACGGGAGGCAGCAGUGGGGAAUUUUGCGCAAUGGGGGAAACCCUGACGCAGCAACGCCGCGUGGAGGAUGAAAUCCCUUGGGAUGUAAACUCCUUUCGAUCGGGACGAUAAUGACGGUACCGGAAGAAGAAGCCCCGGCUAACUUCGUGCCAGCAGCCGCGGUAAUACGAGGGGGGCAAGCGUUGUUCGGAAUUAUUGGGCGUAAAGGGUGCGUAGGCGGUCUGAUAAGUCUGAUGUGAAAUCUAUGGGCUCAACCCAUAGUCUGCAUCGGAAACUGUCAGGCUUGAGGAUGGGAGAGGUGAGUGGAAUUUCCGGUGUAGCGGUGAAAUGCGUAGAUAUCGGAAGGAACACCUGUGGCGAAAGCGGCUCACUGGACCAUUUCUGACGCUGAUGCACGAAAGCUAGGGGAGCAAACAGGAUUAGAUACCCUGGUAGUCC